UUAACACAAAUUUAUAUGGAGUUGCAAUAGCUUCCCUUCGUUUGCCGCUAGGGGCACUGUUCUAACUCCAUACAAAUUUGAGUUA
rfam:Bombyx mori DNA, contig: Bm_scaf18_contig13403, strain: p50T/Dazao, build 2, whole genome shotgun sequence.